UCAAUUUUCUUCCUUUUUCCUCAUUACCUACACUAACGCAGAUGAUAGAGAGAGAAACUGAAGCGUCCAAAGGAAACCAGCGGCUUCUCCGACGGUGGCGAUAGCGGCGAGGUCUGAACUCAGACGGUCAAGCGUCUAAAGGAAACCAACGGCUUCUCCGACGGUGGCGAUAGCGGCGAGGCCUGAACUCCGACGGUGGCGACAGCGACGAGGAGAAUUGCUACCAACGGCAGCAACGUAGGUGGAAAAAAAAAGAAGAAAAUCCGUGGCGCAAUCGUCUGGUUUAUCGAAGAAGUACCAAAGAGAUAGAAGAAGCCUACCUCCUAAUUUGUAUAACAGGUGAUUGAUGCCCUAUUAAGUUUAUUUUUAUGUUUUUUGUUUGAUAUUAUUUACCUAGAAGUUAAUAGAAUGUUUUUAGUUGAAGAAUAUCGCAGCCGUCCAUGUAUAGUGACAUGGUUUAGGGAUAUGGAUAUCUAAAUUCUAAUGAACCUCUGUUAAUAAGGAUGGUUUGGUUGAGAACUAUAGGGGGCGGAGGAGAUGAUGUUAAUCCGAACAUCACAGUGUUUAAUGGAGCCUAUUUUUGUACAAAUUUUUAGGCCUUUGAUUUGUCAACUUUUGAAAGAUAAAAUUUAGCCACAGUCU